rnacentral:rRNA from 1 species
AUGAGUCAAGAUAAGGCCGAAAGAUUUUUCCUCGCAAUGGUGUCUGCGCAAGUCCUAAUUUUUUUUUUGGUCUCGUCGUUUCAGUUCAACGAGCAAAAGAAGUUUAACGUUCCUCCAAGCUGCAGGAGUGAUGACCCUGAGGUAAACAGAUUGAACGACAACUUGGCUGUCUACUACGGGGCCAUGGCAACCUGCAGGGAGAACGUGCACGCUCUGCUGGUGGAAGAGCUCCAGGACAGUAACGUGGGUCUGAAGCAAGCUGAGGCAAGGUAUGAGGGAAUGAAGGUGACCGCGCGCAGGAUGGCACAAAUUACAAAUAGGCUGGGCAAGCCGAUGCCUUUCCCUUCCCACUUUAAGCAUGCCGUGAAGCUGUAG